GCCCGUUGGUGUGCGGCACGCUGCGGUCCGUACCCGGCCCGGGGCCCGCGCCCGCGCCCGGGUGGAAGCGGGCCUUGGCGUAGUUGCUCACGAACUGGUCCUGCAGGAAAGAGCCGGCCAUGGCGUAGCGGGCCCCGGGCACGAUCUGCGAGCGCGGCGAGUCGUUGGGCGAGGGGGUCAGGCGGUCCAUGUCACAGCCGGUGUAGAUCCUGCGGGAUUGUUUCAGAAACCCCUAGGAAAAAGCCGCGCACGCAGUAAUCAUGAAAGACUGGCCUUCACCCGUGUUCUGGAACCCGAGGUUUGCUGCUGGAAGCCUCCAAAGUACUUAGUGUCUAUUGUUUCCCCUGUGUGAAACUUUCACUCCCACCUCUACUAAUACAAACAAGAAUUACUACUCUGAAA
rnacentral:lncRNA from 1 species